rnacentral:lncRNA from 1 species
GGUUUAAUGUUCUGAGUCAAAACUCUGACCUCCACCAUUACCCUUCUCACAUUUCCUGUUAGUGAAUUUAGAAAAGUUUGUUGAUCCUUCCUCCAAAAUAUUGUAAAUGUGACCAUUUCUCAGAAGUCCCAACUCCACAAGCUGCUCCUCCUCCCACUCCGGCUCCCCAAUUAGUUUCCUACAGCUCCCUGAUUUAAUCUCUGAGUUGGCAGUUAAGCCUGUAAUACCUCUGAGGGCCAGCUACCCACAAUAUCUCCAUUCUUCUGACUUGGAACCACAGGGUACAUCAUAGGCCCCUCCUAGGGACAAUCUGUAAAUUCAAAAGAGUCAUGGAAGGUCCCCAAAUGGAUUUGGCUACUCUGGUUUUAUCCCCAAAGCGGGCUAGAAAUCGCUGCGCCUUGUAAAAUGGGCCUAGAUUCUCCCCUGAGAAUGAAUUUGCGGUUCUCUAUUAGCAAGCCUGGAAAAUGACAACCCCUGACCGAUCCAGCCUCCUAAGCCUGCUUUGUACUGAGGCAUGGGCGGCCUAGUAAUUAACUACAAGACCCUGACGGUCCAAGAAACUUCUUGCACUGCUCUAGGAAGGAAGACUUCCCACGACCACACCACUCCUACCCCAAAAAGGCAUGUGAACCCACUCUCCUCCCCACCAGCUACAUCAGAUCCCUUCGGAUGCCUUGUUCUCAGCUCUGGAAACUUCGCACUAAAGAUCCACUGGGCUGCUU